GGUUGCUGGUACAAGUCCCAUCAGGCUGCGAGGAGCCCUUCCCGGACGCUGCUGGCUCCUGGAACUGACUUGCCUCCUCAUGCACACGUAGGCAGCUUAUCUCGGGUUUUGUUUUGGCUUCGAAAUCUUUUAAUCUCCCAGGAUCUUUGAGUGGAUCAGCUCCUAUUUUUACUCUUGGAUAGAGAAGUGAAUCAGAGACACGGCCAACUCCGUUGGACUUGUGGAGGCCUGUCCCCGAGCACUGAAUUCCUUGCAGCUUCAAGACAGAGCUGAGACUGAAUUAAAAAACACCAACAGGAUUGGGCCUGCUCAUGAUCAUGGAGUUUGGUGCGUAGUAGGCAUUCAGCAGGUAUUCGUUGAAAAUAAAUAUCAAUGAAUCCUGUUAAUUCUAAGUAGCUUUCUUCCCCUGCCCCCACUGCACAGAGUGUAGUACACAAGGCAAUGGCAGCCAAUAGGUUGUUACCUGAAUUGGCAGAGCCCUCUGCCUGUAAUUUUACCAAAGCAAAAAUAUUUGUGGAUGUGGCUACACACAGUGGCACUUUCUAGGCUUCAUGCAGGCUUGGAAACCUUCCUUUUUCUUUUCUUAUACGCGGCCACUGCAUUUACCCUCCACCUUCUUUCUAAGGGAAGACCCAGUCACAGAACCAGUUUAAACUGCAUCCCUUUUGAAUGGGGCCAGACUCACACGAGGAGUGGUGACUGUACGAGUUAAUGUGGUUUUACUACCCAGAAGGUGAGAUUUAGCUGUCAUUUUAGAGCUCAUUUAAAACAUUCUCUAUAACUUCCUUCUAGUGUUUCUAAGAUUCUAUUUUGUAGAGUAGUUACAAUUUUGGAUUUAAGAUCCUCCCUUUUGAGCCUUUGUAAGCUAGUGUAGAGGUUCAUGAUGUGUGAUGAGUUAUAAUUUUUCUGAGGCCCAAAUUUGAGCCUCACGUGCUGUUGGAAUGGGCCCCCGAGGUGAGUUCCUGUUUUCACCCAGCGCCUGUGCUCACUGUGGCUUCAUCAUCCUAUGCUCACCCCGACCUCGUCCCUUUCAUACCAAAGUGAACAUUUGAUUGUGAAGUCCUUGUUCUGUGGUGAUAUUAACAAACUUGAGGAUUUCUGUAGUCGUUGCAAUGCAAACUCGCAACUGCCAAAUGUCUACUAUUUCUAUUUUUACCUUUUCUGAGUAUUAAAAAAAAUGAAGUAUAAUUUAAGUACAACAAAAUGCACAGGUGUGGCAUGUUUAGUUUGAUAAGUUUGGACAAUUGUACACCUGUGUAACCAUCAAGAUUCAGAACACAUCCACCACCCCAGAACUUCCUCUUCUGUUCCUUUCCGGUGAAUUGUUGAUCCACCCCUAUAAUCUUGGAAGCAGCCACUUUUUGACUUCCAUCACCAUAGCUCUGAGCUCAUAGAACAGUUUUGCCUGUUCUAGAGUUUCAAACAAAUGAAUUCUUCCAAUAUGUAUUCUUUGUGUGUGUGACUUCCGUCACUCAAUGUGCAGUUUUUGAGGUGUGCCCAUGUCAUUGCACCUAUUAGUAAUUUGUACUUUUUAACGGCUCAGUAGUAUUCUACUUAUGGCCAUUCCAUGGUUUGUUUACCCAUCCUCCCGUUGAUGGACAUUUGUCUUGUGGGGAAAGGAGGCUAUUGUAAACAAAGCAGCUAUAAACACUCUUGCUUUCUGUAGACAUAGGUUUUCAUUUCUUUUGGGUAACUGUUAAUACCUAGAAACGGAAUUGCUGGGCCAUAUUCUUCAGGAGAAUUGCCAAACAGAUUUUCAACAUGGUUGUACCAUUACUCUCCCCUAGUAAUAUAAGAGAGUUCUGGUUUCUCUACAUCCUGGCCAACAUUUGGUGCUGUCGAUCAUUUUUAUCUGAGCUAGUCUAGUGGGUGCGAAAGGGCAUCUUGCUGUAGUUUUAAUUUCCGCUUCUCUGAUGACUAAUAGUGCUGAGCAAACUGUCAUGUGCUUCCUGACCAUUCCUAGAUGUUCUUCAGUUAAAUGUCUGUUCAAGUCUUUUGUUCAUGUUUAAAAUCGGGUUAUGGCCGGGAGCAGCCUAUAAUCCCAGCACUCUGGGAGGCUAAGGAGGACAGAUCACCUGAGGUCAGGAGUUCAAGACCAGCCUGGCUAACGUGGUGAAACCUCAUCUCCACUAAAAAUAAAAAUGAGCUGGGCAUGAUGGUGGGUGCCUGUAAUCCCAGCUACUCGGGAGACUGAGGCAGAAGAAUCGCUUGAACCUGGGAGGUGGAGGUUGCAGUGAGCUGAGAUCGUGCCAUUACACUGCAGCCUGGGUGACAGAAUGAGACUCCAACUCAAAAAAAUAAAAAAAAUUAAAAAAAUCAGGUUAUUUACUCGCGUUAAUUGGUAAGAGUUCUAUUAUUUAUUUUUGUACUUUCCCUUUUCUACGGUUACUUUUCUGUUACCUUCCAAAUUCCUUGAGAUAUUUUAUCAGUUCUCUCAACAGCAUCCACUAUGGUGGUUUGUAAAUAGUGGGUGCUUAAUAAACACUUACUGGUUUAAUAGCAGAAAGCAUUCAGGCUGUUCAUUUCUAAAUGCCUUAAGCCGAUCUGGCAUAUACUACUUGCUUUUGGAAACUGUCAUAAACUUCAUAGUUAAUUUUACAACACUGACUUAGGAAGAUCUGAAGCUUUCAUGAUAGGUGGUCUCUUAGAGAAGUUGAAAUAUUUAUAGCCUUGAAAAUAGAACAUUCUGUACCAUCACCUGUUUUCUUCUUCUUCUGAAAUUUAUGAGACAUUUCUUAAC
ensembl:lncRNA